rnacentral:rRNA from 1 species
AUUGAACGCUGGCGGCAGGCCUAACACAUGCAAGUCGAACGAGUGGCGGACGGGUGAGUAAUGUCUGGGAAACUGCCUGAUGGAGGGGGAUAACUACUGAAAACGGUAGCUAAUACCGCAUACCAUCGGAUGUGCCCAGAUGGGAUUAGCUAGUAGGUGGGGUAAAGGCUCACCUAGGCGACGAUCCCUAGCUGGUCUGAGAGGAUGACCAGCCACACUGUGACUGAGACACGGUCCAGAGUCCUACGGGAGGCAGCAGUAGGGAAUCUUCCACAAUGGGCGCAAGCCUGAUGCAGCCAUGCCGCGUGAGUGAAGAAGGCCUUCGGGUUGUAAAGCACUUUCAGCGGGGAGGCGGUACUCGAAGAGGAAGCACCGGCUAACUCCGUGCCAGCAGCCGCGGUAAUUC